GAUGAACGCUGGCGGCGUGCCUAAUACAUGCAAGUCGAGCGAACGGACGCGACUCUUGCUUCUCUCUCGUUAGCGGCGGACGUGUGAGUAACACGUGUAUCACCUCCCUAUCAUACUGGUAACACUUCGAGACACCGGCGCUAAUACCGUAUAAUCUUUUGAACCGCAUUGUUCAAUAGAGAAAUUCGGCCUUGCUGUCUCUUAUAGAUGCAUCCCCGCUGGAUUAGCUGGUUGGUAAGUUAACGGCUUACCAAGGCGACCAUGCCUAGCCGACCUGCGAGGGGGAUCGGCCACACUAGAACUGAGACACGGUCCAGACUCCUGCGGGAGGCAGCAGUAGGGAAUGGUACGCAAUGGGCGAAAGCAUGACGGAGCAAGGGGACGUGAGUGGUGGAAGUCUUGGGAGCGUGAAGCUCUGUUAUGAGGGAAGAACAGAUGUGUAAGUAACUGAGCAGAUCUUGACGGUAACGGAUAAGAAAGCAACGGCUAACUACGUG
rnacentral:rRNA from 1 species